AGGAUAGGUGGGAGGCUUUGAAGUGUGGACGCCAGUCUGCAUGGAGCCGACCUUGAAAUACCACCCUUUAAUGUUUGAUGUUCUAACGUGGACCCGUUACCCGGGUUGCGGACAGUGUCUGGUGGGUAGUUUGACUGGGGCGGUCUCCUCCUAAAGAGUAACGGAGGAGCACGAAGGUUGGCUAAUCCUGGUCGGACAUCAGGAGGUUAGUGCAAUGGCAUAAGCCAGCUUGACUGCGAGCGUGACGGCGCGAGCAGGUGCGAAAGCAGGUCAUAGUGAUCCGGUGGUUCUGAAUGGAAGGGCCAUCGCUCAACGGAUAAAAGGUACUCCGGGGAUAACAGGCUGAUACCGCCCAAGAGUUCAUAUCGACGGCGGUGUUUGGCACCUCGAUGUCGGCUCAUCACAUCCUGGGGCUGAAGUAGGUCCCAAGGGUAUGGCUGUUCGCCAUUUAAAGUGGUACGCGAGCUGGGUUUAGAACGUCGUGAGACAGUUCGGUCCCUAUCUGCCGUGGGCGCUGGAGAACUGAGGGGGGCUGCUCCUAGUACGAGAGGACCGGAGUGGACGCAUCACUGGUGUUCGGGUUGUCAUGCCAAUGGCACUGCCCGGUAGCUAAAUGCGGAAGAGA
rnacentral:rRNA from 1 species